AUUGAACGCUGGCGGCAGGCUCAACACAUGCAAGUCGAGCGGGGUGAUGGUGCUUGCACUAUCACUUAGCGGCGGACGGGUGAGUAAUGCUUAGGAAUCUGCCUAUUAGUGGGGGACAACAUCUCGAAAGGGAUGCUAAUACCGCAUACGUCCUACGGGAGAAAGCAGGGGAUCACUUGUGACCUUGCGCUAAUAGAUGAGCCUAAGUCGGAUUAGCUAGUUGGUGGGGUAAAGGCCUACCAAGGCGACGAUCUGUAGCGGGUCUGAGAGGAUGAUCAGCCACACUGGGACUGAGACACGGCCCAGACUCCUACGGGAGGUAGCAGUGGGGAAUAUUGGACAAUGGGGGGAACCCUGAUCCAGCCAUGCCGCGUGUGUGAAGAAGGCCUUAUGGUUGUAAAGCACUUUAAGCGAGGAGGAGGCUCUUUUGGUUAAUACCCAAGAUGAGUGGACGUUACUCGCAGAAUAAGCACCGGCUAACUCUGUGCCAGCAGCCGCGGUAA
rnacentral:rRNA from 1 species